rnacentral:snoRNA from 10 species
UUAUCAGGCUGGAUAAUCUUUACCUGUUCUACUUUUUGGAGGGCAGAUUAGAACAUGAUGACUGAAGUUUGCAUGAUUUGUGAUUAGAGUCUCUGCAUGCAGUCAGGACUUCCCACACACUGAUUGAUCCUAUUUGAU